AGUUACAAAGCUGGUCUCCUGAUUGGACAUGAACCAAGCAAGUGAUGAAACACUUCCAGUAAAUAUAUGCUCCCUUAGACCUAAAAUUGUAGGCUUUCGUGGCCCACGCCUACGUUUUAGAAAUUCCUCCAACACAUUUCUCAUUUUGAAAGCUUCUUCAAAGUAAUUAUCCUGAUUCAUGUCUAUAGUCUGAAGGGCUUCUCCACGAGUAAAGAUAAUGGCAUGAUUUUGAUUUUCAGGUUUACCUUCACCAAUUUCAUUUGGGGGACCAGGAAGCUUGAUUCGGUAGAUUUCCUCAUCCAACUUGUCACCUCCUUUGACCAGAACAGAGUAAUAAACCUUCUGAGAUUUUCCAUUGACUGUAUCCUCUCGUUCAUCUAUGUAAGCAACACGUAGUGAUGGAUACGUUAACAUGAGAUUUAGAAUAUUACUGUAACAACUUCUAUCUCGAGCAUCAGGGGAUUUUUUCUGGUUUCCGUAAACUUGACAAGACACAACAUAGGUGAACUUCAAAUCUGCCAGAGCUUGUGCAUGAUCAAGGAAAGCUUUCUGAUUAAGUUGAUCCUGCCCGCUUAAUUCCAUGGUGUGGCUUGCAUUGUCUCCUGUGAAUUCCAGGUUGCAUUGAACUUCUAGAGCCUUCUUGUAGUACAUCAUCCCCCUCACUGUUCUAGCAAGCGUUUGCCCCCUGUAAGAUACCCACUGACGAAGAAACUCUGUCUUUUCUUUGGCAGAGUAAGUAGGGUCGUGAUCUACUCGUUCCUCAAAAUUUUUCCAUUCAUCACGAUAUAUUGUCUUCAGGUAGAACAACAUUGUUAUCCCAUCUUCAUUUUCCUUAUUAAGAUCAUCUUCCGAAUAAAGAACAUCUUCUUUGUAAUAUGGAGUCAACACACUAAAGGAGAGCAUGUCCCGGACUUUUGGAGCAGGUGGCAUUUUCAUGAAUAAGGAAUUUGCAAAGAAAGUGAUACGGCGGCGAGCAUCCAAGUUUGAUGGUACAUUUAUGGCAGAUUCCUUUGUGAUCAAAAGCAAACGAAGCCUAACAACCUUCUCCCUCCAUGAUUUGUUUUGUGUAAGAGCAAUAUUUAUCUUUCCAAAGCUCUGCUCUAUCUUGACAUUUUGAUCAUCCAUAGUGGCAGAGUGAGCUCUUUCCAGGAUUUCAUGGCCAUGAAUCAUAAUAUCUUUGGUAAUAAUUUCUAUGAUAUCCUGGAGAACAUUAAUUAUCUGAGAUUUGUACGCAUCAACAUCUUCACUGUCAUCUAGCUCUAGCAAGACUUUUAGAAACUUCUCCAACUUUUCACUGAGUAAAGGCAAGCCACUCAUCCGGAAUUCACUCAAAAAUUUAUUUUGUUGAAUGCUUGAGUCCACUUCAUAACAAAUGUGUCUUACAAUCUUCCUAUCUGCAUCAUCUUCCAAAAGGCCAUAUACUAUGUCCCUCAACAUCUCAUAGGUCUCGAUUACCGCUGAAAGCAUAUAAUCAUCCAUUUUCUUAAAUAAGUCAGUAUCUUCCUUCCCCCUGAAAUCUUUUGCCAUGUCCAAUGCUAUAGGAAUCUUGCUAGCAAGUAAAAAGGGAGGCCACUGAACAACAGAUACAUCAGUUGAAGAAUACGGCACAAGUAGCAAGUCUCUUUCAUGGUUGCUGAUCAAAUCUUCGUUUCUCAUAGAAUUGAUGAACUCAUUCCACACCCGAGAAAAAUUUGCAAUAUUUUUUCUUUCAAUCAAUGCUUUCUCUGCAUAUUUAUCCUCUUUAGAUGAUGGAACAAGACGGGAACUGAAAGCUGAAGGCACAGACUCAAAUCUAGACCGUAACAUUCCAAGUGUUCGUAUCUCACCCAAAUGGCUAAAGGCUCCAUGAAUCCCACCAAAAAUAGUAGAAAAUAUGGCAUACCAUAUUUGACAGUCCAUAAAAUAAACCAGCACAAUUGGAGCCCAUAUAGCAAUAACAACACCAAUGUUGUGGGUAACUACAGCAUUUUCAAAAAUAUGACUUGGUACAAUUAUAGCCACACAACAAAAGAAAUUAGGAAUAAUCACAAAAAAUGAUGAAAUGCUACCAUUUGGAAAGAACUCGUGCCAUUGAUAGUUGUCAAUAUGCAUACCCAUAAUCAAUUUGGUUGGUCCAACCAAAGGCAGUAUCUAUUGACAAAAUAUGUAAAAUACAUCAUAAAAAUUGAUGAAUAUGUGAAACAAUAGUAGAAAAUUAAACAUUCUACAUAAAAUGAAAAAGGAAUCUAAACCAUCCAUAUAAGACAAUAAAAAUGUCAGUUUAUUGAGAUCCAAGAAAAGGAGUUUGCCAGUAUGUUUUAGAUUCUUGUUCUUCUUUUUCCCCUUAAAUCAAUAAAAACGUUAAUAAAAAAGCUACGUAAUUAGACUCUAAAUGAAAGUCAAUUUAUAAGAACUUUCUAUAAGCUUCAAGAGAAGUUUCUAUUGUUUCAGUUGAGAGCCAGUAAAGUUCAGCACUCUCACUACUACUUUAAUAUAAUAAGAUUAUUAUUUCCAGAAAAAGGAUAAAUUUAGGAAAGCCUGAUUUCAUCUCAUUUAGGGGCUUGAACAUUAUUCCUUCUCAUGUUUUCUUUAUGCAUGAAUUCACCCUUAAUUGCAAAUUUUACAUUGCAUAAAUAUUCUUAAACGUGUAAAGUACCUAUAUAGGUAACAAGCCAUGCCACAAGCAAAACAUCAAUUUCCCUGGUGGAAAAAGGACACCUGUUUGUCAACUUUUUUCUGACUAUGUUUAUAUGAAUUUUGCAUAUUUACAUGUGAGUGUGUGCAUAAUAAAAAAGUUUACUGAUAUAUUCAUUCAAACAACUAUUUAAACAUUUUUUGUGUGCAAAUGCAUAUGAUAUCAGAUAAGCAAUAAAGUUGUAUUGCAGGGGAUAUCAAGAUAACAAGAAUUUUAAGGAGAAGAACCUCAACGUAGUAGCUAAAUGCUAGCUUGCUAAUUAGCAGUAUGAUCCAAAACAGUGUAUACCUAACAAAAGAAAAUGUAAUUAAGUUAGUACAAGGAAAAAAUCUCCAAGUAUAGCAGCAGCAGCACAUCAUAAAUUUCCCAAGUUAGAACCUUAAAAUCAUUCAAAAGAUUGUCACGAAAUUGAGCAAUUUCCUUUAACAUUUGCUACCACAAAAAUAACAACAGUAAUGAGAUAAAAUAAAAUGAAAAACACCUUUACAACCUAGACUAUUCAUUUAUCUUACUUUAAAAGUGUGAACAUAUCUUCAUGCAUGCCUCUUCCUACAUAUAGUUUUGGCUGAGCCCACCACAUAAUUAAAGUCAUAAUCCGCCAGUUUGAACGCUCCAUUUUUCUCCGCAAAGGUGGAAGCACAAAAAGUACAGCAGCCAACACAUUGGGUAGCAAAUACAAUGCAACAGCAUAAUUAUAAAAUUCCUGAUUCUGCCAAUCUCUAGCCCAAUUGCUAAAGAAUUUUACGAGACCUGUUGGAUUCUGCACAGAACUGGAGUAACCAAUUGGCAGAACUACAGCCCACACAGCUGCUACGGCAAACUUCAGAAGGUAUCUUAGUAUCUGUGUGGCUUUUAAGCUCCUCCAGGCGUUAAGACUAAGAACUAUAUCCAGAGCAGCUUGGAGAAAAUUGAGAAAAGCAGAAGUGACAAAAAUGCUCAAAACACGUCUGAAGACAUCCUCAUUGAAAAAAUCAACAAUUGAUCCUGAUGAACUCCAUGCAAUAAUAACCAUAGCCUGAAAAGCCAAUAUAAAGAAUAUCCACAUUCUGUCAAAACUUCUAUAGAGGUGCCAAAAAGUGCGAACUUCAACAAAAUUUGUUUUAGGCUUCCUAUGUCCAGUAGUGCCCUGAUUAGAUCU
rnacentral:misc_RNA from 1 species